AGAGGAUAGAAAGAAAUAUAGAGAGAGAGAGAGAGAGAGAGAUCCAAUUAUCAGCCAAAAAGCUACGUCGCAUUUCCUGCUUCGUCAUUAUCUCCCAACAAUCUCCAUUCCUCCUUCCUUCUCUCCCCCCCCCCCCCCCCCAAAAAAAAGAGAGAAACUGUGAAAGUUUCAAUCGACGGAGAGAGAGUAGGGAUGAGAGAGUGAAAUCUCGUGGAGUUUCAUUUUCUCUUAAAGAGAAAUUAAUUUACUUUUCUUUAAAAAUAUAACCAAUCGAUAUUCAUUGCUGGUAAAAAGAAAAAAAUAGAGAAAAAAAGUCGAUAAUUAUUCAUCGCUAAAGCCGUUUCUUAUGUAGAUGAUCGAUCGAGAGCUUGCAUUUGUGAAAUGGAGAUUGCUUCGAAUAGAUGAACUGUUUCGAUUUUGUUGUGAAUCUGAGUGCCAGAUCGACUCGUUGAUGCAUUGAGUUUGCUUUUAUCUUAUUUUCUUGAGGUGGAACCAGUUUGAUUUCUUUGUUUUUUGGGGGGAAAACAAUGAACAACGGCGGUGCCAAAACAGCCCUGGCUCCGGUGGGAGGACGACAGAUGCUGGACUGGAAAUUCUCUCAGGUGUUCGGAGAACGGACGGCCGGAGAGGAAGUACAGGAAGUUGAUAUCAUAUCCUCUAUUGAAUUUGAUAGAACUGGUGACCACCUUGCUACCGGAGAUCGGGGGGGUCGGGUGGUUCUGUUUGAAAGGACUGACACUCGAGAUCAUGUUGGACACCGGAGAGAUCUGGAGAAAAUGGAUUAUCCAAUGAAUAGGCACCCUGAAUUUCGCUAUAAAACAGAGUUUCAGAGCCAUGAACCUGAGUUUGACUAUCUCAAGAGCUUGGAAAUUGAGGAGAAAAUCAACAAAAUAAGGUGGUGCCAGUCCCCUAAUGGUGCUCUAUUUCUUUUGUCUACAAAUGACAAAACAAUCAAGUUCUGGAAGGUACAAGAAAAGAAGGUCAAGAAAUUAUGUGACUUGAACGUGGACUCCACCAAAGUCAUGAGAAAUGGUCCUAUUGUUGGUUCCAGUAUAUCAACAAGCUCCAAACAAUUCAUUGCAAAUGGAGGAUGCCCAAGCAAUGACUUUUCAUUUCCCAUUGGGGCUUUCCCAUCAUUGCAUCUGCCUGUGGUAACCAGUUGUGAGACGAACCUUAUGGCCAGAUGUCGAAGAAUAUAUGCUUAUGCCCAUGACUAUCAUAUUAAUUCCAUAUCCAUUAACAGUGAUGGUGAAACUUUCAUUUCGGCUGACGACCUGCGAAUUAAUCUCUGGAGCCUGGAAAUUAGUAACCAAAGUUUUAACAUUGUUGAUGUGAAACCUGCAAACAUGGAGGAUUUGACAGAGGUGAUAACUUCAGCAGAAUUUCAUCCUGUGCACUGUAAUAUGUUAGCAUAUAGUAGUUCAAAGGGUUCAAUUCGUCUUAUUGAUAUGCGACAGUCUGCGCUGUGUGAUACUCACAGCAAAUUGUUUGAGGAACAAGAAGCUCCUGGCUCCAGGUCUUUUUUCACAGAGAUCAUAGCAUCAAUCUCAGACAUUAAGUUUGCCAAGGAUGGGAGACAUAUGUUAAGUCGUGACUACAUGACCCUUAAGUUGUGGGACAUAAAUAUGGAUUCUGGUCCAGUUGCCACUUUUCAGGUCCAUGAACAUCUUAGACCUAAGCUGUGUGAUCUGUAUGAAAAUGAUUCUAUCUUUGACAAGUUUGAGUGUUGUCUGAGUGGAGAUGGACUUCGAGUGGCAACUGGUUCCUACAGCAAUCUGUUUCGGGUAUUUGGCUGUUCUGAAGGUAGUACAGAAGCUACGACACUGGAAGCAAGCAAAAACCCCAUGAGGAGACAAGGUCAGACGUCAUCAAGGCCUUCAAGAUCCCUUGGUAAUCUCUCUGGUAUUGUGAGACGAGUGAAAGGAGCAGAUAACUCCGGAGUUAAUUCAAACGGAACUACUUUUGAUUUCACAACAAAGUUGCUACACCUAGCAUGGCAUCCAUCUGAAAACUCUCUCGCUUGUGCUGCAUCAAACAGUCUUUACAUGUAUUAUGCAUGAAGAUGAUCCAACAAAGCUCGUGAUUAUUUUGCUGGGCAGAGCUUUUCCUGUUUGCUUUGCCUUCUUCCCUAAUUAAUGAUGCAUAAGCUACAGCCAUUUAUCAUACUCUUGGUGACUCAUUGAAAUUUUCUAUCAUGUCUUCCAACACCAACUUCUAACACCAGAGUUCAAUGUUGCUGUAGCUGAUUUGUGGAUGAAGUAGAUUGACUUUUGCUUCGGGGCAGAUCAUGCCCACUGAUUUAAUAUUCUUUGUAGGGAUAUACACAGUGCUAUCUCUACUCUUUUUUGUUUAGUUCGAAGAAAAUAUGAUGAUUAGCACUCCAACCAAUGAAACAAAAGCUUCUCUAAUUAGGCUGCAAUGCUGCUGGGUUUGAGACUAAUGGGAUCCUUACCAAAUCCAAGGAAAAAGGAGCUAAUACCGGUGCAUCAAUUCUCAUUGAUAUAGUCUGAGUCUGUGCCAUUGUGCUUAAAUCUUAAUUGCUGGUUUGUGUUGGGUUUUGGGAUGAAGUAGAAGCCCUCGUUUAAAUCAAUUUUCUGACCUCCAUUUAAAUUCUGGGACUCAAUUUUUUCAGAGUAACUUGCGUCAUAACAUUUUUUCAAUAAAGAUGUUUUUGUUUGGCAACAGAAGUAUCAUCAUUUGGGGUUCGUUUCUUUUAUUUAUGAUUUUCGUUUCUCCUACCGAUUUUUUAUAGCUUUAAUCCAAUAGAAUUAAUUAGUGCAGUCAAAUUUGAUGGGCACGAUUCAAGUGAACUCUAUGGUGCUCAUCGUAAUAGUUUGCGCUAGAGGUGUUUAUGAAUCCGGUUUAGACAAUAUCUCUCAAAUUUUGUCUAGAUUUACUCGUAUUAGUAAAU